AGCGAACGCUGGCGGCAGGCUUAACACAUGCAAGUCGAACGGGCAGCUGGCGUCGUUAGUGGCAGCUGGUUGAGUACCACGGGGGAACGUACCCUUCGGUUCGGUAUAAUACAGGGUAACCAGGGCUAAUACUGGCUACGCCCUUAUGGGCAAAGGUUUACAGCGAAAGGAUCCUCAAGCGUCUGAUUAGCUUGUAGGUGGGGUAUGGGGCUACCAAGGCGACGAUCAGUAGCUGGUCUGAGAGGAUGAUCAGCCACACUGGGACUGAGACACGGCCCAGACUCCUACGGGAGGCAGCAGUGGGGAAUAUUGGACAAUGGGGGCAACCCUGAUCCAGCCAUGCCGCGUGAGUGAAGAAGGCCUUAGGGUUGUAAAGCUCUUUUGACCGGGACGAUAAUGACGGUACCGGUAUAAUAAGCCCCGGCAAACUUCGUG
rnacentral:rRNA from 1 species